rnacentral:ncRNA from 2 species
CAGCGUUCUCAGGGCGGGGUGAAAUUCCCCACCGGCGGUGAUGGCGACUCGUUCGCACAAGCCCGCGAGCGCCUGCGGUGCGCCAUGCCUCGCAGGGUCAGCAGAUCCCGGUGCGAUUCCGGAGCCGACGGUCACAGUCCGGAUGAAAGAGAGCGCGA